rnacentral:tRNA from 1 species
GGGAGUGUGGCUUAGAGGUAGAGCGCUUGCCUCACAUGCAUGAAGCCCUGGGUUUGAUUCCUUAGUACCA